GUCUCUAUGGGGUGCUAUGGGGCAGGUCUCUAAGGGGCGCUGUGGGGCGCUGUGGGGUGACUGUGUGCCCCAUAGGGAAUGCGGCGCUUUGAGGCCCUAUGGGGCAGGUCCCUAUGGGGUGCUAUGGGGCACUAAGAGGCAGCUCUCUAUGGGGCGCUGUGGGGCGCUGUGGGGUGACUGUGUGCCCCAUAGGGAAUGCGGCGCUUUGAGGCCCUAUGGGGCAGGUGUCUAUGGGGCGCUAUGUGGCACUAUGGGGCAGGUCUCUAAGGGGCGCUGUGGGGCGCUGUGGGGUGACUGUGUGCCCCAUAGGGAAUGCGGCGCUUUGAGGCCCU
ensembl:lncRNA